UACGUAGGGAGCAAGCGUUAUCCGGAUUUAUUGGGUGUAAAGGGUGCGUAGACGGAUAAUCAAGUUGGUUGUGAAAUCCCUCGGCUUAACUGAGGAAUUGCAACCAAAACUGGUAAUCUUGAGUACUGGAGGGGAAAGCGGAAUUCCUAGUGUAGCGGUGAAAUGCGUAGAUAUUAGGAAGAACACCGGUGGCGAAGGCGGCUUUCUGGACAGAAACUGACGUUGAGGCACGAAAGGGUGGGGAGCAA
rnacentral:rRNA from 1 species